AAGAAAUGAGAGAGAACUGGGAUAGUCUAAGGCCACAUGGAGAUCUGUCUUGCACUAUGUUGACUUAGUUUAGAGGCCCCGGCUGGAGAGGAGUCAGGCCCUUUUCUUGUGGGGUCAAUUAAGUCCGAUCCUCAAUUACCUCCUUGUUUGUCUCUCAGACCCUUGGCCGCUAUUCAGUCGCCAUAUGUGCCUCGGAGCCAGAAACCACAAAAAAAGGUUUUCGCCUACUGCUGCCCUUUAUCCCUCUGGCUCAACUCUGACGCUGGUGCUCCCACGAGUGGCCCCCUGUGGCAUGGCACGCUGUGUUCUCCCCAGGGAACUCUUUAGGAGACAGGAUGUCUGAGGUCAGAAGUUCCCCCUGGUGACCAAACCAGUUAAGACUGAUGAGAUUCAAGAUCCAGCUCACUUCGCCUUUGAAGAACCUCCAACUUCAUUAUAAUUUAUUUUCCAUACUAAAUGACACUCCCACCAGUGCCAUGACAGUUUAUAAUCACCAUGACAAUGACCAGAAGAAAUUAUGAAAGGACAAAAAGGAAGACCACAACUCCGGUUCUGAGGAAUUCUCCACCCAUUCCCAGAAAAGACAAGAAUACUCCUCCCCUUGUUUUUAAUGCCCAAACCCUUCAUUAAAGAUGUCCCAUAUCUGUGA